GGAUGACAAAUUUCUGGGCUACUUUGGAAAGAAGAGUGCUGCAGGGGAAGGCAGUGGCCAGUCUGCGAUGGGGGGCCGACCUGUAGAGAGCUCAUUUGGAAUUCAGCACUGCAACAUUGCCAUCUUUUGGCCAGACUGUAUACUCCUCUGUAAAUUCCCAGGGAUACUUCACUCUCCAUAGCCACAGUGAGGUCCUGAAGCAGCCUGACACAAAGGUAUGUUAUGGAUUUAUUCAUUUGUUAAUGACAAGAAAGGAAAUAUUUUGUCCUGAUUAUUCAAGAUGUGUUUGAUGCUUAAAAGUAACUCAAAAUAAUGAAGUGUGUUCUGUUUAAACUACUCAGACUAGUGACUGCAUUUUGGAUUUCAAGACAAUGCAACUGAAAUUAAAUACUCCGGUCAAGUCCAGCCUGCCUGAGAAACAGUGGACAUCAUGCUCAGAAGUAUUUUAACGCUGUUGUUCAAAUACAAAAACUAAAUUUUUGUAAUAUUCGUAAAAACUGCUGAGCACAUUUUAAUCCAUUAUCCGCUCUUCAUCUUCAGGGAGUAAAUCUACAAACACACAGUGAACAGGAAAAUCUUGAGAGGGUCUACUUGUCCUCUACCUGAAUAAAUAUUUGUCUGAAGCGCCCGUGCCGUCCUGUUUUCCCACGGUGGUGUAUGGGACAUCAUGGAUAAGGCAGAGGAUGGGCUCUGACAGAGAGUGACAAUUCAUCCCUUCAUCCCCCCCUAACUGACAUGUCACAUUCUCUGAUGACUUUAUUGUGCUCCCUGUCACUGCACUUAAUCUGUGUGUCAGUCAAGCUGGAGCAGCCCACACCAGCACCUCCAGACAGCAAAGCUAAUACCCACCCUUUUAAUGACAUUACAUUUGGAGUAAUGCCAUUCAGUAAAGCACUGAUAUUAUCUUCUAUUUGCAUCAUUCAGCCAGUGACACAGCCAGAACUCGGCCGAUAAAGAGCUGGUCAUUUCCCCAUCCAUUUCCACUCGGAUGACAGAUGUCAAGAUGGAAACUGGCUAUUAUUUACUGUAGCCGUGUUUUUAUCACAGACAGACAUGAUGUCUCACUUACUCCAUGCUGUCAGCAAAUGCAUCAAAACUAUCUCUUUUGUCAUAUUUGGAAGUUUAAUGAAUUUUGUUACCUUUUCAAAAAAUAAAAACACGAUUUCUUUAAUUUUGGUGGAAAUCAGAACUGCUUUUGUUAGUCAGGAGCUGUGUGAUCAAAGUGUAAUACAUCAAAUUGAACUGUCUUAUGUGACUAAAACCUAUUAAAACUGGUAAACAAACUAUCACUUUAA